AAAGUCGUAACAAGGUUUCCGUAGGUGAACCUGCGGAAGGAUCAUUAAUGAAUUUGGAGAAUUGAUGCUGGCCUUUGUGCAUGUGCUCGUUCUCUUUAAUCCAUACACACCUGUGCACAUACACGGUGGUGGGGCUUGAUUGCCUCGCCGCUGCUUCACACACGUCUUAACAGUCUUGUAUGUUUUAUAUCAUAUUAUACACAACUUUCAACAACGGAUCUCUUGGCUCCA
rnacentral:misc_RNA from 1 species